GAUGAACGCUGGCGGCGUGCCUAAUACAUGCAAGUCGAGCGAACGGACGAGAAGCUUGCUUCUCUGAUGUUAGCGGCGGACGGGUGAGUAACACGUGGAUAACCUACCUAUAAGACUGGGAUAACUUCGGGAAACCGGAGCUAAUACCGGAUAAUAUUUUGAACCGCAUGGUUCAAAAGUGAAAGACGGUCUUGCUGUCACUUAUAGAUGGAUCCGCGCUGCAUUAGCUAGUUGGUAAGGUAACGGCUUACCAAGGCAACGAUGCAUAGCCGACCUGAGAGGGUGAUCGGCCACACUGGAACUGAGACACGGUCCAGACUCCUACGGGAGGCAGCAGUAGGGAAUCUUCCGCAAUGGGCGAAAGCCUGACGGAGCAACGCCGCGUGAGUGAUGAAGGUCUUCGAAUCGUAAAACUCUGUUAUUAGGGAAGAACAUAUGUGUAAGUAACUGUGCACAUCUUGACGGUACCUAAUCAGAAAGCCACGGCUAACUACGUGCCAGCAGCGCGGUAAUACGUAGGUGGCAAGCGUUAUCCGGAAUUAUUGGGCGUAAAGCGCGCGUAGGCGGUUUUUUAAGUCUGAUGUGAAAGCCCGCGGCUCAACCGUGGAGGGUCAUUGGAAACUGGAAAACUUGAGUGCAGAAGAGGAAAGUGGAAUUCCAUGUGUAGCGGUGAAAUGCGCAGAGAUAUGGAGGAACACCAGUGGCGAAGGCGACUUUCUGGUCUGUAACUGACGCUGAUGUGCGAAAGCGUGGGGAUCAAACAGGAUUAGAUACCCUGGUAGUCCACGCCGUAAACGAUGAGUGCUAAGUGUUAGGGGGUUUCCGCCCCUUAGUGCUGCAGCUAACGCAUUAAGCACUCCGCCUGGGGAGUACGACCGCAAGGUUGAAACUCAAAGGAAUUGACGGGGACCCGCACAAGCGGUGGAGCAUGUGGUUUAAUUCGAAGCAACGCGAAGAACCUUACCAAAUCUUGACAUCCUUUGACAACUCUAGAGAUAGAGCCUUCCCCUUCGGGGGACAAAGUGACAGGUGGUGCAUGGUUGUCGUCAGCUCGUGUCGUGAGAUGUUGGGUUAAGUCCCGCAACGAGCGCAACCCUUAAGCUUAGUUGCCAUCAUUAAGUUGGGCACUCUAAGUUGACUGCCGGUGACAAACCGGAGGAAGGUGGGGAUGACGUCAAAUCAUCAUGCCCCUUAUGAUUUGGGCUACACACGUGCUACAAUGGACAAUACAAAGGGCAGCGAAACCGCGAGGUCAAGCAAAUCCCAUAAAGUUGUUCUCAGUUCGGAUUGUAGUCUGCAACUCGACUACAUGAAGCUGGAAUCGCUAGUAAUCGUAGAUCAGCAUGCUACGGUGAAUACGUUCCCGGGUCU
rnacentral:rRNA from 1 species